rnacentral:misc_RNA from 1 species
UUUCCGUAGGCGAACCUGCGGAAGGAUCAUUCAUAAUAAGUGUUUAUGGCACUUUUUUAAAUCCAUAUCCACCUUGUGUGCAAUGUCAGGGUUGAUUUUUCUCUCGAGAGGAUCAGCCCCAAACAUCAACUAUAUCUCAACUCUUUGUCUGAAAAAUAUUAUGAAUAAAACAAUUCAAAAUACAACUUUCAACAACGGAUCUCUUGGCUCUC